AAGAGCGGUCAUAUCCGCACUAAUGCACUGAAUGCAAUUAGAACACUGUAGUUAGGCAUGCUUGGGCGAGAGUAGUACUAGGAUGGGUGACCACUUGGUAAGUACUCGUGUUGUACCUC
rfam:Lupinus angustifolius cultivar Tanjil chromosome LG03, whole genome shotgun sequence.